rnacentral:rRNA from 1 species
AGAGUUUGAUCAUGGCUCAGAACGAACGCUGGCGGCAGGCCUCAAACAUGCAAGUCUAGGGGGUGUAGCAAUACAUCACCGGCGGACGGGUGCGUAACACGUGGGAAUAUACCUUUUGGUUCGGAACAACGCAGGGAAACUUGCGCUAAUACCGAAUGUGCCCUUACGGGGAAAGAUUUAUCGCCAAAGGAUUAGCCCGCGUAGGAUUAGCUAGUUGGUGAGGUAAUGGCUCACCAAGGCUCCGAUCCUUAGCUGUUCUGAGAGGAAGAUCAGCCACACUGGGACUGAGACACGGCCCAGACUCCUACGGGAGGCAGCAGUUGGGAAUCUUGGACAAUGGGGGAAACCCUGAUCCAGCCAUGCCGCGUGAGUGAUGAAGGCCUUCGGGUUGUAAAACUCUUUCGACGGGGACGAUAAUGACGGUACCCGUAGAAGAAGCUCCGGCUAACUUCGUGCCAGCAGCCGCGGUAAUACGAAGGGGGCUAGCGUUGUUCGGAAUUACUGGGCGUAAAGCGCGCGCAGGCGGUCUUCCAAGUCAGUGGUGAAAGCCCGGAGCUCAACUCCGGAACUGCCAUUGAAACUGUAAGACUUGAGGAUGAGAGAGGUGAGUGGAAUUCCCAGUGUAGAGGUGAAAUUCGUAGAUAUUGGGAAGAACACCGGUGGCGAAGGCGGCUCACUGGCUCAUUUCUGACGCUCAGGCGCGACAGCGUGGGGAUCAAACAGGAUUAGAUACCCUAGUAGUCC